rnacentral:rRNA from 1 species
AACAUCUAAGUACCCCGAGGAAAAGAAAUCAACCGAGAUUCCCUUAGUAGCGGCGAGCGAACGGGGACCAGCCCUUAAGCUGUUUUGUGAUUAGUAGAACGCUCUGGAAAGUGCGGCCAUAGUGGG